CAGUCGAGCGGUAACAGGGGUAGCUUGCUACCCGCUGACGAGCGGCGGACGGGUGAGUAACGCGUGGGAACGUGCCCAUUAGUGGGGGAUAACUCGGGGAAACUCGAGCUAAUACCGCAUAAUCCCUACGGGGGAAAGCAGGGGAUCUUCGGACCUUGCGCUGAUGGAUCGGCCCGCGUCAGAUUAGCUUGUUGGUGAGGUAAAGGCUCACCAAGGCGACGAUCUGUAACUGGUCUGAGAGGAUGAUCAGUCACACCGGAACUGAGACACGGUCCGGACUCCUACGGGAGGCAGCAGUGGGGAAUCUUGGACAAUGGGGGCAACCCUGAUCCAGCCAUGCCGCGUGUGUGAAGAAGGCCUUCGGGUUGUAAAGCACUUUCAGUAGGGAGGAAGGCUUCGGGCUAAUACCCUGGAGUACUUGACGUUACCUACAGAAGAAGCACCGGCUAAUUUCGUGCCAGCAGCCGCGGUAAUACGAAAGGUGCGAGCGUUAAUCGGAAUUACUGGGCGUAAAGCGCGCGUAGGCGGCUAUUUAAGUCGGAUGUGAAAGCCCCGGGCUCAACCUGGGAAUUGCAUCCGAUACUGGAUGGCUAGAAUGCAGUAGAGGGAGGUGGAAUUUCCGGUGUAGCGGUGAAAUGCGUAGAGAUCGGAAGGAACACCAGUGGCGAAGGCGGCCUCCUGGACUGACAUUGACGCUGAGGUGCGAAAGCGUGGGGAUCAAACAGGAUUAGAUACCCUGGUAGUCCACGCCGUAAACGAUGUCUACUAGCCGUUGGUGUCCUUUGUGAUGCUGGUGGCGCAGCUAACGCGAUAAGUAG
rnacentral:rRNA from 1 species